AUACCCGCGGAAAGACGGAAAGACCCUGUGAACCUUUACUCUAACUUGACAGUGAUAUCCGGUUCAGCUUGUGUAGCAUAGGUGGGAGGCUAUGAAACCGGCGCGCCAGCGUCGAUGGAGCCACCGUUGAAAUACCACCCUGGUUGUUCUGGCUAUCUAACCUCUUCGGAGGGACACUGUCUGGUGGGGAGUUUGACUGGGGCGGUCGCCUCCCAAAAGGUAACGGAGGCGCGCAAAGGUUCCCUCAGCCUGAUUGGAAACCAGGCGUAGAGUGCAAUGGCAUAAGGGAGCUUGACUGCGAGAGGGACACCUCGAGCAGGUGCGAAAGCAGGCCAUAGUGAUCCGGCGGUUCCGAAUGGAAGGGCCGUCGCUCAACGAAUAAAAGGUACUCCGGG
rnacentral:rRNA from 16 species